ensembl:lncRNA
CAACGAUCCAGCGUCGAGGAGCUCUCAGCCACACUGUUUUGAAGCUCCUCUGACGAGGCUUGAUCGGCGCCAGGUGUGUGUGGAUUCCUGGGUGGGACCGGUCAGCUGGCAGGGCCACACCCACCAGGCGGGGGGUCCCGGACGGAGGGCCCCAAAACCCCAGUUCAAAUGUCCAACCACUGCCAUGGUGGGAACAACAGUUCUUGCGGCCGACCCAGUGGACCGCAAGCAGGCAAAACUCGCUACGGGUCAGGCAGUGGUGGGAAAACAGUUCGGGCGGCCUACCUCCAACCCCAUGAUGGAAGCGGAACGCUUCAGGCGGCCUGCCACGGAUCCGGUGGCGGCGGCGCUGCUCCUCCGGCGGCCUGCCACGGGUCCGGUGGCGGCGGAACGGUUCUGGUGGCCUGCCACGGGUCCGGUGGCGGCGGCGCUGCUCCUCCGGCGGCCUGCCACGGGUCCGGUGGCGGCGGAACGGUUCUGGUGGCCUGCCACGGGUCCGAUGGCAACGUCGCUGCUCCGGUGAGCAACAGCGAGGCGUGGCACAUGGUCUAUGACGCGCCGGUCGCUGACGUGGACGCACUGGACGUGGAUGGCGUGGAGGCCGCGCAAGACGUGGAGGUCCCUCCGGUUCGCUGACCUCCGGCUGAGCGGGUCCCUCCUCGGCUGGCAGCGAGAGCCCCUCCUUGGCUGGCAGCGAGAGCCCCUCCGCGGCUGGCAGCGAGAGCCCCUCCGCGGCUGGCAGCGCCGGUUGUUCCUUCCGCUCGCCGAGCUCGUCUGCUGGUGGCUCGCUGAGCUCGUCUGCUGGUGGCUCGCUGAGCUCGUCUGCUGGUGGCUCGCUGAGCUCCUCUGCUGGUGGCUCGCUGAGCUCCUCCGGCUCGCUGAGCUCCUCCGGCUCGCUGAGCUCCUCCGGCUCGGGCAUGCUGAGCUCCUCCGGCUCGCUGAGCUGCUCCCGCUCGCUGAGCUGCUCCCGCUCGCUGAGCUGCUCCUGCUCGGGCAUGCUGAGCUCCUCCGGCUCGCUGAGCUCCACAGCUGGUGACGCGGGCUCCUCCCGCUCGCUGAGCUCCUGCUCGGGCAUGCUGAGCUCCUCCGGCUCGCUGAGCUCCUCCGGCUCGGGCAUGCUGAGCUCCACAGCUGGCGACGCGGGCUCCUCCCGCUCGCUGAGCGCCCGCUCGCUGAGCUCCCGCUCGCCCGCUCGCUGAGCUCCC